rnacentral:rRNA from 1 species
GACGAACGCUGGCGGCGUGCUUAACACAUGCAAGUCGAACGGAAAGGCCCUGCUUUUGUGGGGUGCUCGAGUGGCGAACGGGUGAGUAACACGUGAGUAACCUGCCCUUGACUUUGGGAUAACUUCAGGAAACUGGGGCUAAUACCGGAUAGGAGCUCCUGCUGCAUGGUGGGGGUUGGAAAGUUUCGGCGGUUGGGGAUGGACUCGAGGCUUAUCAGCUUGUUGGUGGGGUAGUGGCUUACCAAGGCUUUGACGGGUAGCCGGCCUGAGAGGGUGACCGGCCACAUUGGGACUGAGAUACGGCCCAGAAUGCUACGGGAGGCAGCAGUGGGGAAUAUUGCAGAAUGGGCGGAAGCCUGAUGCAGCAACGCCGCGUGCGGGAUGACGGCCUUCGGGUUGUAAACCGCUUUCGCCUGUGCCGAAGCGGGAGUGACGGUAAUGGGUAAAGAAGCACCGGCUAACUACGUG